UGCAAUACAAAGUCAAUGGAGACUAUUGGAUUGAUUUCCCCCCCGGUGGGCGUGGUUUUCAGGUUGUGACGCGCUGCGCUCUGUCUCUAUGAGGGCACAUUAUUUUUUUUAAAUAAUGAAGCUCACAGAUAAGUCAUUUGUAAUAAAUACCCAAUAUUCCAAAACAAAUUACAGUUUUUCAUUUUAUUUUCAUUGCAACUUUAAAUGACCUCACCUUUAAGACCCAAAAUUUAUUUGAAUUUAUUAAUAAAACGUACAAAAGAGACUUAGUUUCACAUCAUUUUGUGCUGUGAAAGUAAUUUGUGUAUGUUUGAUUUGAUGUUUUCACAAGGUAGCAUCGCGCUCACUGGAGGCAUCACUUUAAACGGUACGUGACGUAAAAUGACGCGUCUCCCUGAGGGCGGGGUUGAUUCAUCUGUCCCAGAUCAGUGGUCGGAUAUCCGACUUAAAGUGCCGUUGUAUAUGUUUAUUUUCUAUUUAAAUUGGGAAAUAUCUUAAAUCCGAGAUAAAACGUAGCUUUUAUCAAGCCAGGUAGUCCCGCCCAAGAUGAAGUCUCAUUGAGCCGAAGUCCAAGUAGCCCCGCCCAAAGUAAAAUCUCAUUGGACUAAAGUCUUUUAAUUAUGAAUAUUAAUCAACAAGCAUGAACGCCUGAAGAUUGAUUAUGGUGGAUCAGAAGCUACUACUACACUUUACAAAAAAAGUACACAAGUUAUUAAAAGACAAACUGAAAAGGCAUGCGGUCCAGAGAAAGAUCUUUUUAUAAAUCAAAGGACGGACCGUUGGCUAAUGAGUGUGUUUACUGUGUGGGCUGAGCGAGGAAUUUACCGCAGCCCUCUCAUGACGGUGGAGCCAAUGGAUGAUUCACUUAAUUACGAAGGCAGACUGGAGAAACGUUCGUGUAAUGAUCUGGUGAAAGACGUGAUGGGCUUACGCUUACAAGCACAGUCCAUUCACUGACUGGCUGUGCGUGCUUUCUGGAAAUCAGCAGCUACAUUAUGAUUGGCUGACUUUACUCAAAGUUUCAUAGUGUUGAUACCGCCCUAUGACCCGUACCGACGCUCAAGUUUAUAUUCCUCUGGGUGAAAGCGGACCUCGCAGACCACCCCUCCUGUACAGCACUCCAUCAGGUCCUGGUACAUAUUAAUGUUAUUUUCGGGUCAUUUAACAUUGCUGUGCAGGAGGGCUAGGGGCUGACACAAAACCGUAAAUCACAGGGCUGUGGAACGGGCCGGUGCCAUAACACAUUAUCGUAUGGAUUUUAGGUGGGACCAUCGUUCAUCCUCUCUCUCGGGGAAUGACAUCAGGGCCGGUUUGGAGAUGCCCGUGACAGCCGUGCGCUAAUUGAAUAUGACGAAGUGUUCUCCGGCUCACCUUCUGGCACCUCGGGACCGUGCAGCCGGCGAUGAGAGACCGAGAAGGAGAUUUCGCGAUUUCCUCGGCUUUUGAAGUGCAAGGCCGACGGUGAAAGCGAAGCCGCUAAUGCAAUAGCGCGCAUUGUGGAAGGCUCAAGUCUGUCUGUCUGCGUCUGCGACUGCUGGAGACGCCAGAGUAAAACCACAUGUUAAGAGGCACGCGGAGUGGAGAGGCUCUUGACCACCCAUCGCAUAUGAUGAUACCAGGUGUCUCGCUCUUUGUUCUCGUUGCGCGUAUACCUUCAUUAUAUAAAAAGCGCACUGACAGGGAUGGGCCGGAAAAAUCUGCGCAGCAGAUGCCAUUGUGGACGAGGCGAACACCCACUGUUGUCCCAAGAUAGGGCCCCUUCUGUUUAUAGUUAUAAUUCUUGUCAACCUUCGAACGAACAAUUUGUUUAUGAAUAUUCGUACGUAUUUUACGAGGUGGCUAAUUCGAAUUAAUUUCGUACGAAGUGAGUCGAACAAAAACGUACGAUUAUCAUAAAAAUACAAUAACGAAACCACACCCCUAACCCCAACGUCACAUGGGCAAAAGCAAAGCAACAAUGUAAGAAUGUAGUCGUACGAAUUAAUAUGAAUUGGCCACCUCUUAAAAUACGCACGAAUUGUCAUGAGAUAACGUUAUUUAUACAGUAAGCACAGCUUGGGUCCUAGAACAUGAAAUUGCUUAUUUCGUAACAGCAGCUGUUUUUCGUUGUGACUGUACACAAAUAAAUGUUCCUAAAGGUGCUUUGUCACGCUUUAUAAGACGAUAUAUACGAUGUUAACCUUCAACAUCCACAUAAUUAUUAUUUAUUUAUUUAUUGAACAAAAGGUUCUUUAUAGAGUAUAAUGGGUAAGAAAUGUUUCUUAGAGAUAACCAAAAAUUGUUCUUUAUUUUUAAGUGUAUUAGAAUAACAAUUUAUUUCCUCACCAGGAAGUAGUAAUAUAAAAAUUGGGUUGCAACAAAGAUAAUAUAUUUCUAGCUAAAUUAAACAUCAUAACAGAUCGAAAAUUACUCCAAAUUAACUGGAUAAACCUCUCUCUGCAAAUGUUCACCUCAGAUUGUAAAUGCAGAGAAGAUACACGCAUAAAACAUGCAAAAAAUCAGUUUAAAGUACAAGUAACUUUAGUAACUUGUUAUUUGCAUGGAAGCUGUUCAUUUUAUUUACCAAAAUACUGUAAAUUUGGUGUGAACCUGCACAUUUUGGUAUGUUACUGUUAAAUAAUUAAACGAAUAAGUGACAAACUGAUUUUCUGAAAUUUGUAUGAAUUUUGAAUACUGACGUCAGUUUAGUUCGCAGUUUUACGGGACCAAAGUUUUUCCAUACCAAGUGAUAUGCAGUUAUCUAUACAAUGUUUUUUUUUAUAUUCUUACAAAUCAUUGUUUUUUGGCAAAUAUAUUUUAUAAUAAAAUGAUUAUUGUUAUUUUGCAUAAUUUAAUUUAUUUAACACAUAGCCUAUUAAAUAUUGGUUUGUAUAAUAGGACUUUGUUCUACUCUAAAUCAUGGAAUUUUAAUGCGUAUUACCAAAUGAAUUCAUGUGAUAAAAUAUGCGUUGUUGACAUUCUUCUAGUUACAACAAAGUUAAACGAAGAGUUGAUAUUAGAUGUAAUCUUUCAUUAAAGAUUAAGCUGCACAGCUGUUAUCAGACUUUUCUAUUGAUAUAUGUAUAUACCUCACCACUCUUCUU